CUGCAGGAAGCAGUUUGUAAUCAGAGCUGUUAACACCAACAUCCUUAUUGUGAGACUUCAGCCAGGACUGGUAGACUGGUGUCUGUUCGUACAUGGGGGGGCCUUAAGUAUAUCUGGAGAUUGGACUUUACUUUUCCAAAUGAAAAAAGAGAUGAGAGAACUGCUGUUGAGAACGCUCAUGAGAACAUGACUGCUGCCCUCACCAGGUCUUCAUUUCUGCAAGGUCAGCACACAAGGCAUUUCAAGUAGAACUGCAGCCAAACAAAAUGACACAACUGAAUAUUGAGGUCAAAGAAGAGUAUU